GGGAGGAGGGACCUGUAGGCCGUGCUCCCGCACCCCUCUGUCCCCCACGGCACAGACCAUCACCCGGCCCGCGACGGGGUCCAGUAAACGGUGGCGGGGCUGCACUAGCGAACCUGAAAGACUCUCUUCAGAGAUUUCACGUAGCUUUUGAACUCUCUUGUAUCGAGCAACAAGUGCCUUCCGAAGUGGCCAAUUUGACAAUGCAUCCUUGCAGUGGCUCUCCUUCCUUCCCUGCUUUAUAACCCCUGUCUGUCACUCCUGGUUCUUGGACUCACACUUGUCAAUGCAGUACUCACCCGAGGAACCUACACUAAGGCACAGUGGUAGUACCACAGUGGUCCCAGUAAGCAGCCCUCAGCUUGGAAUUUUAGAACUGGACUGCCCAGCAGUCAGAUGGCAACAGUCCCAUCGGUGGUGGUAAAUGUGUGUGUUGGGAAGAAGUGAUAACACCGAGGCUAUAUACUUCUUCUCUUGGAAACAGAAAUAAAGGUUAUAUCAGUA